rnacentral:rRNA from 1 species
AACGAACGCUGGCGGCGUGCUUAACACAUGCAAGUCAAGGAGAAAGUCUCUUCGGAGGCGAGUAAACUGGCGCACGGGUGAGUAACGCGUGAGGAACCUGCCCAUAUGUCUGGGAUAACCUGCUGAAAAGCGGGCUAAUACUGGAUAUAUUGUUUACUGCAUGGUGAACAAGGAAAGUUGGUGCAAGCUAACGCAUAUGGAUGGUCUCGCGUCUGAUUAGCUAGUUGGUGGGGUAAAGGCUCACCAAGGCAACGAUCAGUAGCCGGCCUGAGAGGGUGGACGGCCACAUUGGAACUGAGACACGGUCCAGACUCCUACGGGAGGCAGCAGCUAAGAAUCUUCCGCAAUGGGCGAAAGCCUGACGGAGCGACGCCGCGUGAACGAAGAAGGCCGUGAGGUUGUAAAGUUCUUUUCGGGAGGGGGAAUGACCGUGGCAGGGAAUGGCCGCGGGAUGACGUGAAUCCCGGAAUAAGCCCCGGCUAACUACGUGCCAGCAGCCGCGGUAACACGUAGGGGGCGAGCGUUGUUCGGAAUCAUUGGGCGUAAAGGGCGUGCAGGCGGCACUGCAAGUCCGGCGUGAAAGACCCCGGCCCAACCGGGGGGGUGCGCUGGAAACUGCGGUGCUUGAGUACAGGAGGGGAUGGCGGAAUUCCAGGUGUAGGGGUGAAAUCUGUAGAUAUCUGGAAGAACACCGAUGGCGAACGCAGGCAUCUGGCCAUGUACUGACGCUGAGACGCGAAAGGUGCGGGGAGCAAACA